AAACGCCGACGCCGACGUCGUCUAUACGUUAUACUAUAACGUCAGAUAUUGGAAUUUUUAAUACUUCUUUUUCAACUUCGUCGCCAAAAAGAACACGGCAAGCGGGUAAAAUAAGUUUUUUUGCUAUGGUAUGCGGUUUCAUUUGUUUAGCUACAAGCUCUGCCGCUAGAUAACUAGCUCCUUGAGUUUUAUCAGAUAUGGUCACUGUUUUUGUCACUUUUUUCAGAUUGUCGUGUUUCUGAUUUUAGUAAACGUCGAAAACGUCAAGCAUUUUUAUCGACCAAAUGAGAAUGCCCGGUGGAAAAAUGGCGUUUUAGUUUACCCGGAGAACCAUUGAUUCGUUUGACAGUUCAUCGCCACAUACAAGACACCGCGGACGAGGAUCGUCUACAUUUCCGGACCAAGAAAAUCCCGUGUUUAAAUAAUCUCCAUGAUAUUUCGACGUCUUGUAUUUAAUUUAAUUUUCUUCUUUGGUUUUUCGCUCACUGAAGUGCUGUCAGUCGAACGAAUUAUAAAUGCAUCCAUUAUAGAGAAAAAAAAAAAAAAAAAAAAUUAAGUAUUAUUUAAAAUUUACCAUUGCAGGACAAAAGUCGUUAAAAACGCAAUAUUCCGCGACGCGGACGUAAAACGAACUCGGGACGGCCGCGACGGGC